AGAAAACACACAGAUAGCAAGAGAAAGAGUUGCUCGUUAGAUUUGAUGCAUGCCAUGUCCCAGAAAACAUUUUUCAUUUACAAGCUUAGCAAAAAAAUAAUACUUAUAAAUCUCUUCUUAGUGCACAAGACUGCAAGUCACACUGAACAGCAGAUUGUUGUCUCAAGCCAGUGCUGAUCAAUGACAGUUUAGCUGCAGUCUUUCAGAGAAGAGAGGAAAGAUGAGUCUCUCACAGAAACAGAGUGUAAGAUCAGACUCACAUGUGUCCAGCUCUGUGUCUGUGAGGAGUGACCGGUCAA